GCCGAAUUGGUGGAAUGGCAGACACGACAGACUCAAAAUCUGUUGAUAGUAUUAUCGUGUGGGUUCGAGUCCCACAUUCGGCACCA
rnacentral:tRNA from 1 species